CUACUCACCUGGGCACCCCGAGACAGGCGAGGCGGGCCCGGCGCCCAACACCAUGCCCCAGCCGGCCUGCGGCAGCGAGACGCGACCCCUCACAGCCAGCACCGGCUCCGGGCGGCGGGACCGGAAGUGGCGGGGCGGAGACUCGACCGCUCUCGCCAGAGGCGGCGGCGGCUACUGCUGCGACUGCAGCGGGCGCUUUAAAAAAAAAAUUCAAAAGCCCGAAGAACUUUAUUUGGAGCCUGACACACGAACAGCAGUGUGCACCGAGGAAGGGGGCUGGAUUCGGCGGCCGGCCGAUGGGGCCUAGCUCUUUGGCUGCGGGGCGGGCACGGAUCUUGCGGCCCUCUCUGAUUGGCCCGUGGCGACAGGGGGGCGGGUCACCCAGUGUUUUCCGGAGCCUGCGCGCCAGAGCUCCUGGGACUCAGAGCUAAGUUCUGCCUCCAUUCAUUUGAUCCUGUGCUGGGUCUGGGCCUACGGCUCCGGAUCGUCACGCAGCGUGGUCCGCGGGGUCGGCCAGGCUGAUGCUGACUGCUCGGUGGAUGGGGCGCCCGCUGUACGCCCAUCAGCGUGCUCAGAAUGCAGAGGAGCAGCCCAAAGCCCGCACGGUCGGGAGUGACCCGGGGCGCAGCUGUCUCAGACUUGCAGCCUCCAAACUCCCCAGGGUGCUCGCGGGGCCCGCAGUAGAAUCGCUUCUUCAAUUCAGUCGCUCAGUCGUGUCCGACUCUUUGCGACCCCCAUGGACUGCAGCACGCCAGGCCACCCUGUCCAUCACCAACUCUCUGAGUUUGCUCAAACUCAUGUCCAUCAAGUCGGGGAUGCCAUCCAACAAUCUCAUCCUCUGUUGUGUCUCCCUCUCCUCCUGCCCUCAAUCUUUUCCAGCAUCAGGGUCUUUUCCAGUGAGUCAGUUCUUCACAUCAGGUGGCCAAAGUAUUGAAACUUCAGCUUCAGCAUCAGUCCCUCCCAUGAAUAUUCAGGACUGAUUUUCUUUAGGAUGGACUGGUUGGAUCUCCUUGCAGUCCAAGGGACUCUCAAGCUUCUUGAGUACACACUAUUUUCCUGUCCCUUCGCGUCCUGGUGAGGUUGGUAACAGGCACUGUGGCAGGUUUGUGCAGGGCUCCUGGAGGAGUGAGCCAUCUGAGAGAAGAGGUUCACUUCGUGGACAGGGAAGAAACAGCCAAGAAGUUAGAAUUUUAUUUUCAGAAGCCCCAUUGAGAGGUGUUAGAGGGUGGUGUGACAACAUCAAGUUUCCUUUCUAAAAGAGGCUUCUGGUUCCGAAAGCUGAUGGAAGAGGGGACAGGCAAAGAGGAAACCUGGGUCAGCAAGACCAGUCAAGAAAAAAAUUCAUGGUGUUACUUCUGUUUGGGGACAGUUUCCUCCUUCUUUACCCUAAUUUUUUUUUAAGCUUAGACAUCACUUUCUCAGAGAGGGCCAAAAGCUGGGGAGGUGCAAGUGCCCCUCUGUGACUCUGCUGAAGCUCUGAGCUUCCUUGUUCCUGGUGGUCAGGGCCACUGCCUGUUUCCAUCAGCUCCUCUUCUGUGUUUCCCAUCGUCUGACCCUCCUCCCCCGUCCUGACAUGUAACAGGUACCAGAUAAAUACUACCCGAGGUAGUUGCAGGAGUCCUGGAGAGAGAAGAUAAGGCCUUGAAGCAAGGCAGCACGUGAAGGUGCAGUGGGCUGGCCUGGGUACAUGUCUUGCGGAGGAGCACUCUACAGGAUGGCCUGAACACACACAGGCCCGUGGUGGCCACUCCUCACC
ensembl:lncRNA